rnacentral:ncRNA from 1 species
CUCACCCAGGGCUCCUGUAGCUCAGGGGGCAGGCCUGAGCCCUGCGUCCGCCCUACGGCCAUCCAGCCCCCCGACGGGGCACCCCGUCCUGAGGGGCCCCGCGCUGGCCCCCACCGAGGCAGGGGAUCUGACAGGCUCCGAGCUCGGCUGGAUGUUACAGGCGUGCACA